rnacentral:rRNA from 1 species
CCUGCCGGACCUGACUGCUAUCGGAUUGAUACUAAGCCAUACGAGUCUUUGUAGUAAUACAAGGCAGACGGCUCAGUAACACGUAGUCAACCUACCCUAUGGACAAGAAUAAUCUCGGGAAACUGGGCAUAAUUCUUGAUAGAUCAUAAUGCCUGGAAUGGUUUAUGGUUAAAAUGAUUCGUCGCCAUAGGAUGGGACUGCGGCCUAUCAGCUUGUUGGUGAGGUAAUGGCCCACCAAGGCGAUUACAGGUACGGGCUCUGAGAGGAGAAGCCCGGAGAUGGGUACUGAGACACGGACCCAGGCCCUAUGGGGCGCAGCAGGCGAGAAAACUUUGCAAUGUGCGAAAGCACGACAAGGUUAAUCCGAGUGAUUUCUGCUAAAGAAAUCUUUUGCCAGUCAUAAAACCACUGGUGAACAAGGGGUGGGCAAGUUCUGGUGUCAGCCGCCGCGGUAAAACCAGCACCUCAAGUGGUCAGGAUGAUUAUUGGGCCUAAAGCAUCCGUAGCCGGCUUUGUAAGUUUUCGGUUAAAUCCAUGUGCUCAACGCAUGGGCUGCCGAAAAUACUGCAUGGCUAGGGAGUGGGAGAGGUAGACGGUACUCAGUAGGAAGGGGUAAAAUCCUUUGAUCUAUUGAUGACCACCUGUGGCGAAGGCGGUCUACCAGAACACGUUCGACGGUGAGGGAUGAAAGCUGGGGGAGCAAACCGGAUUAGAUACCCGGGUAGUCCCAGCUGUAAACGAUGCAGACUCGAUGAUGCAUUGGCAUAAUAGCCAGUGCAGUGUUGCAGGGAAGCCGUUAAGUUUGCCGCCUGGGAAGUACGUACGCAAGUAUGAAACUU